AUUUCAGUCUCAGCUACCUAGGAAUCAGCAACAAUCAGAGAAAAGGGAUGUAGGGCAGUUACAGUAAAAACAAACAAAAGAACAGAAAAUCAAAGAGCAGCAAAAAAACAACACUGCCAAAUAAAACCUCCCCUCCCCUGCCCUUCCUUCCUUUUCUUUCCCUUUCUCCUUCUUAGGGGAAAGAAGCAGUGGGGAAAAGAAAAAAGAAAAAAGAAAGAAAGAAAGAAAAAAGAAAGAAAGAAAGAAAGAAAGAAAGAAAGAAAGAAAGAAAGAAAGAAAGAAAGAAAGAAAGAAAGAAAGAAAGAAAGAAAGAAAGAAAGAAAGAAAGGAAGAAAGAAAGAAAGAAAGAAAGAAAGAAAGAAAGAAAGAAAGAAAGAAAGGAAGAAAGAAGGAAAGAAGGAAAGAAAGAAAGAAUUAAAAAAAAGAAAGAAAAUAAAAAAAAAACACUUUCUUUCCAGAAGUCUUUAAACCAUUGCAGCUGCCUUCUGCAGUGGAGUGGGAGAUUGCUGUGCAAGAGAGGACUCCAAAAACCAAGGAUAAAACAGUUCUCAAGAGAACAGAUCAUCUGACAAAGAGGAGCCUACUAACAAGGCCUUCUUGCUUCAGCAUCAAGAGGCAUCGUGCUCACAGACUUUCAUCUUGAUGGGAGAUUUCAACCGCAUGGAUGUAAGCUGGGAAAACAACAUGGAAGGUUGAAAAUAUUCCAAGAGACUGCUGAAGAUAACUACCUGGUCCAGGUAUUGGACAGAUCAACUAGAGGUGAAGCAUUGCUGGACCUGGUGCCCAGCAAUGCAGAGAAAAUAAUUGGAGAUGUUAAAGUUGGAGACAGUCUGGACUGUAGAGACCACGUCCUGGUUGAGUUCAUGAUCUCAAGAAACACAGGCCUAGCAAAGAAUUGAGUCAGGACCCUGAACUUCAGAAGAAGGAACUAUUGGCAGUUUAAGAAUUAUUGGAGAAGAUUCCUCUGAGAGACUGUUCUUAAGGACAUAGGAAAAAAUGUACCUGGUAGCUCUAUAAGGAUAUAUUUCUGAGACCUUUUCAACCCCCAGCAUAAUAAAUCAAAUACAGGAGGCGGGAAAUCAGCAAGGCUGAGCAAGAAUUGAUUGGUCAAAUCAAGGGACAAGAUGGAAAAGUACAGAUGGUGGAAGCAGGGACAUAUGGCCUGGGAAGAAGGGAUGCCAUCCGGACAUGCAGGGAUGAGAUCAGAAAAGCCAAGAUGCAGGUGGAGCUGAACUUGAUGAGGGAUGUGAAAAAUAACAAGUCUUUCUUUAGGUAUACCGGUCCGAAGAGACAAGCAAACUGGCUUCAACAGACACGGAGAAGGAUGACGUACUGAAGAAGUUCUUUUCCUUGAUCUUCUCUGCUAGUUAGGCUUAUCAUGUCUCUUAUGUCCCUGAAACUCAAGCUCUCCUCCCUGCUGCUCGACCUGACUGCACAUCUCGCCUCAGCGUUGUGAAGGUGUGGAUCUGUGGAUCCACAUUAGGAAGAAGUGAUGCCUGCAGAGAGACAUGGAUGGACUAGAGAAGUGGGCUGACAUGACCCCAGUGCGAUUUGGCAAGGCUAUGUGCAAGGUGUUACUUGUGUCACAUAUAUUCCUAUUAUGCAUGGGAGAAGAACUCAUUGAGAGCAGACCUGCUGAGAAGAACUUUGGAGUCCUGGUGGACAAAUAAUCCAGGCAUGAGCCGUUAGUGUGCACUUGCAUCUCAGAAGACAAACUGAAUCCUAAGCUGUAUCAAAUCAGGUGUGGUUAACAGUGCCAGGGAGGUGAUUGUCCUCUCUACUCUGCUCUUGUGAGCAUCUGGAGUACUGUAUCCAUGUCUGGGGCCCUAUCAGUGCAAUCACUGUGUGUAUUAUUUAUAAGUCUGACAUUGGUCUAAGCUGUGUAAAUGAGCACUGGUUAAUGCAGAGGAAAUGUAAAAAGUAUUCAAACUUUUAAACAUAGGGAAAUCAUAUUCAUUUAACAGGGAACAGCAAAGCUGGCUGUUUUAUUUUUCCUUUGUGUAUAAGAAACAUACACCAUUUUGCUUGACAUUCAGUAUGAAUAUGCAAAGGCUUUUGAUACAUCUGUUGUUAAUAUGCAAGAUAAUGAAUGUGCUUAAAAUUCUGCUCUUCUUGUCUGCUGAUUAAAUGAAAUAAGCAGAACAGUCCACCAUAUCUAUAUGCUUUAGAGGACCAAUGUUUGCAACAAAGUAGUAACUGUUCACAUUACGUUCUGUUUUAUUACUAUUUUCUGAUGGAAAACUGUUUUUUCAUGAAGCUCCAAAUUUUUCAAUGAAAAUAUCCACCACAAAAAGAAAAACAAAAACACUUAAUCUGUUAACCCUUCUUACUGCAUUUCAAAUGAAUAAUAUUACUGAAGACUGAAGGAGAUGUCUAAUAUUUUACAUUGCUUUCUGGAAAUAGUGGUGGUUCCUGUUUCCACAUGUUCUCCAGUUAUUGUGGAGAGGGAAUUCAUGCUUGGGUAAACACCAUGGCCAAGACACUACUGUUCCUCUCCUCACUUCUCUAAAAGGGUAAAAUAAUUAAACUUAUUAUUUCAUAAGGCAGUUUGGCAUAUAAUUUUGAUAUAAUCAUAUGGAACUCAAAUGACAUAAAGUUACACACAGUACAAAAAAUAUUGAGAUAGAAGCAUUUUCAAAAAUCUGACCAAUUCCAUUGUUUGUCUAAAAUUAAAUCUUAAAUAUUUAUGAAGAUGAAUCUAUACUACAAUGAGUUACUGCAUUUUUUUUUUCAUUAAAAUAUUGAGGGAUUCUAAUCCAUUAAUCCCGAUGUUAAUUAAAAAAAAUCGUUGUCAAAAUGAUAGACUGUUAUUAUUAUUAUCUUUUUUUUAUAUUCUUUUUCUUUUCAAUUAUAUCUACUCCUUAGAGAAGACACAACCCAGGUGAAUUAAUUUUUUCUCUCAAGAAAAUAGCGAGGACUGAGUUUGCCAAAGAGCUUCUAUAAAAGUGGAAAAAGACAAGCUCUCAUCUAAUAAUGUUCCUAUUAAUACACUUUUCUGUGUGUACUUUUGCUUUGAACAUAUAACAGUAAUGAAAAAAUACAGUGGUAGACACUUGAUAUUUGUCUAUUCAUAUUUAUUUAUUAAUAUAUUAAUAUAUUAAACAAUAUUUAUAUUGUUUAAAAGGCAGCUAAUUUUGGAAUAAAUAAAUAAAUAAAUAAUCCCACAACACUCCAGAGUUCAGUAAAGAUGAAAGAUACCCCAUGAGAUUUAAGACACAAUUUGGUUGUGCAUUUUCAACCCAUAUGAGUAAGUAGGAAGGGAUGGCAAUGACAAACUUGCCACUAACACCACAUAAUGGUGCAAUGGGUCACUCUAGUCUGGUGAUGUAUGCUGUUGUACGAAAAAAAGAUUUUUCUAUAUCCACAUGAGUUAUUUAAAUUGCUCUUCCAUGUCAGAACACUGAGCCUACCACAGCGGUGGCCAGCAUAAUAUGGGAUAGGAUAUGAGGUCCCCAAGUUGUGGUGCUCCAGAGCCAUGGGGUGGAUUUUCUGCUAAUAUUAAGAAAGUGACACCCUAGCUACUUGAUCUGCUGUCUAAAUCAGUUUUCCAUCUACAAUAUUAACAGUACCAUACAUUGUAUGGUUAGAUUAAAUAAAGACUGAAAGCUCUUAAAUACAGCGUAUCAGAAUGCAUUAAAAUAGUUAUGCAUCAAAAUUAAAACAAGACAGUUUUAAAAUAUCUAUUGUGGACCGAAGAUCAGCUACAAAAGAAUGUGGUUCUGGAAGAAUUUUCUUUAUUUCUGGCAGCCCUAUGAAACUAGCAGUAGGACUGCUGGCACUGUCUUCUAGGUCUUGGGGGAUGCUUUUAAUCCAACAAGGCACUGCUAUUAUUAGGAAGGCUGCAGUGUAACUACACCAUCAUUGCAUUCUGUCAGUUUAGUUUUGCAUGAACCAUUUGGUUCAUGACGCUCUAAAUUUAAUACUGUGCUACAGAUAAACUAGAAACAGAAUAAAUAUUGUAAGAACAAAGCUGUCACAGAAACACACUCUGAGUGUUUCGACCCCAUUCAAAGGCCCUUCACUAUAAUUGUCUCUGACAGAAGGCCCCUGUACAGUGAGUACUUUAGUUGCCAAUGACCUUAAACACGAUUAUCAUUAGCCUUCUUGUAAUACUCUCUCUUCCUUGAACUCAAAUUACUGUGCUUCUCAGAUGGAUUUAUAAAGGCAGUUCAAUACUGUAGUUAGAAUAAUCCGAGCUGUUUGAAUCAAUGCUGUGUCCUUUGUAAAUAAAGCUGUUCUGAAAUGCAUGCUGUAAUAAUUAUAUCCAUAAUUUGUUACAGUUAUUGUAAUAAAUUUGACUAUAAUAAUUUGAAUUAUUGUUGCAAAGAAGCCACAAGGAUUACUUGAUUACUUAAUCAAGUAAUAAUUUAUGCUGAUAAAAAUAUCAGG
ensembl:lncRNA